rnacentral:rRNA from 1 species
CCCUUAGAUGUCCGGGGCCGCACGCGCGCUACACUGAAGGAAUCAGCGUGGCUCUGUCCCUGGUCCGAAAGGAUUGGGAAACCCGUUGAAUCUCCUUCGUGAUAGGGAUUGGGGCUUGGAACUGUUCCCCAUGAACGAGGAAUUCCCAGUAAGCGCGAGUCAUAAGCUCGCGUUGAUUACGUCCCUGCCCUUUGUACACACCGCCCGUCGCACCUACCGAUUGAAUGGUCCGGUGAAGCCUCCGGAUUGGCGCGCACCUCGGUGCCGCCGAGAAGUUGGCUAAACCUUACCAUUUAGAGGAAGGUGAAGUCGUAACA